rnacentral:rRNA from 2 species
GACGUAGGGGACGAGCGUUGUCCGGAUUCAUUGGGCGUAAAGAGCGCGUAGGCGGCCGUGCAAGUCGGAUGUGAAAAUCCGGGGCUCAACCCCGGACGUGCAUCCGAUACUGCUCGGCUAGAGGUAGGUAGGGGAGAUCGGAAUUCCUGGUGUAGCGGUGAAAUGCGCAGAUAUCAGGAGGAACACCGGUGGCGAAGGCGGAUCUCUGGGCCUUACCUGACGCUCAGGCGCGAAAGCUAGGGGAGCGAACAGG